GGAGAAUUACUCAAGAGGCUGAAGAGGAUGGUUUGCUAAAUCGUUAGGUCGGGUAACUGGCGCGGGGGUUCGAAUCCCCCAUUCUCCG
rnacentral:tRNA from 1 species